UGCAACAGAAGAUAUCCAAGCCAGGCUCAUGGAGUUCUGAGUUGCCAGCGUGGGUCCCCUGGCUUCAUUUUAAGGGAGGCAGCAGAGAAAUAGCAUUCAGUCCUAGAAAUCUCCUUUUGAAGGAUAAAAAUACAGUUUUGCUUUUCCUAAUGCUGGUUAGUUUGGAGUUGCAAUAAUGGCAAAAGAUGAGGAAGGUCAUGGACAACUCUGCAGAUUAAAGGAACUCAGAAAACAACAACCAAAGUAGCUGGGAGCUAUUCCCUGUUGCAUUUCAAAGCAGGGCCAUUGUGUCCUAGGGAGUUUCUAGAUGAAGAAAGCCUAACUCUAUUAAAUUUUUCUCUGAGCAGCUAUGGAAUACUGUUUUUUGCCCCUUCAUCUCGCUCAAUCCCAACCAAAAUUCCAUAGCUGAAGGGGCUGAAUAUAAAACUGCCUGAAGCCAAUAUUGAGGGCAGCGUUGCUAAAGAAAUAUCCUUUAGACAAAAGAAUAAAUAGAAAGCACUCUCAAAUUUAUCUCUAUUGUCUGCAAAAUAUCAUUGCAAAGCUCUUCAGUGUCUUCUCAUUAUCUCUCAUAAUGAGUAUCAUUGGAGGAAAAGCAUUUAGUAUUUGAUUAGUACAUUUCAGAAGUUAAGCAGGGGUGCCCCUGAUCACUACUUGGAUGGGGACCAUGUAGGAAUUCUAUAGUUGUUGACUAACAGAAGACAACAGCAAAUGGUCUCCUUAACAGGGCCCUGGGGGCUGUUACAGGUGUUGGUUGGUCAUGAACUGAGUUCAAUUCAAGAGCUCUUUAUAUUUUGACAAUAGCCCUUUCACCUUGAAAGCAUCUUUUCUCCUGACCAGAAGGUCUGGAGAGAAUCUAACCCCAAAGCCCAGAAUUAGCAAUCAAAUAAUAAAGGUCUAAAAAUAUUGCUAAUUCUGGUUUGUGUGUGUGUGUGUGUGUGCGCGUGUGUGUUUUAAAAAAAUCAGGAAUUAUAGGAGUAGCUGACCUGCAAUUUUCCCUCGGUAUUGUGACUCACGAAUUAAGCAGAAUUAGACUUGAUCAUAACUUAGAUAAAAGGCUUCCUGUAGGCUACAGAGGGAACUUGAAAAAAAGACAAUGCCAAACUGCUUCCAAAAAAACUACAAGGUCAACAAGUGUUAAAAUGGACUCAGAGGAGGCUUUAGACUUAGUUAAAUGAGGCUACCUUUCCUCCUCUCGGAUGCUGCAGGGUUUCCAGCUAUUGUGCUGCUCCACAUCCUACAACAAAGGACCAAAAGCAGGGAUUCCCUUGAGAUGGGACAUUUAUUCCCAGGUGUCUCCAAGUAUUUUUAUAUCACAAGAAUGCUACGAUUACUGAUCCUGCUAAAUUAGAUUGCCUUCAAUGAAAGCAUGGAGACAUUGUGAUUUUCUCCUUCAAGGCAACUGGAGUGUUGAAUGGAGCAGGUCAGCAAAUUCACUUUAUAUUGCAAUGCGCUACUAUUGGUGGCUAUCACUGUUCCAGGAUAUUAUCAGGUAGAAAGUCAGGACCUCUCAGCAGCCUGAUAGGACAAGUGCUGAUGUGGAAUGAGAAAAGAAGAUGUGACCUGGGAAACAGAUUUGAAGGAAACAUCAGAUGUUACUUUUCUAGCCCAAAGUACCCCCUCCCCCCUGCUGCUUCACUACUAGCAAAAAAGACAAGUUCCCAAUUUUGAGGUUUGGGGUCCUAUUUAUUUCCUCUGCCAAGAAGGAAGUUCUGACCAUACAUUCUUGUCAGUUAUGCUGGAUGGUCUCCCUGCUUGCCCAUUGCCUUUUCCCCCACACCAAGGUAAGUUGACAGAGGGAAGAUAGUAUUGGGAAGGAUUUGUUAUCUUACCUGCUUACCCUUUUGAAAAAUCAGCACAACACCCUGCACGCGUGCACACACACACACACAAGCACGAUGGGCCAAGCCACCUUGAAUAGGCCUGAAAUGGUUAUGUAUAUACAAACAACAAAAAAGGGAAACCCAGCCUGUACAGCUACCUGCAAGCAGUUGUAACAAACUCCAAUGUGCACAGGACCUGUUUUCUAAAAAGAAGAACCGAGGGCUGAUUCAACUUCCUUGGGUAGCUUUUAUCCUGCUUUCUGAGCAAAGAGCAGCAUUUACUUCUACCUAGCAAAGGCCAAUGGCAAAUCUUAAGUAACGCCUAGAAAUUUGCACGGGUUAAAUCCUUUGGAAAUGCUUGAGAAUAGCAUGGGCCCGGUAGUUUUAAGGAAGGGAUCAACUAAUGCUGGCCCUCUAUGGACAAGGCAAAGGUGAGAAACGGGUGCAACCCACUAAGUAACCACGAUUGGCCACCAUCUCUACUUUUAAACUGUCACAUCGCCAGCCCAGCCACGCCGGGAUAGGCCGAAGAGUCUACUGAAUCGACGAAGGCGGCAACAGGGAGCCGAAAGGGAAGCUCUCUGCCUCGCCACCUGCCCGGGCCGCACACAAAGAGCUGGCAGAUCAGAACGGCAGCUUCUCCGGCCGCUUGGCUUCUGUUUGCUGAAGGUUACGGACGAGAGUAGAAUCACGAGGGUGGAGGACUGAGUCAUUGUGGAUAAAUAGGGAAGCUGCAUCCAUCCGGGAAAGAAAGGGGGGGAGAGACGGGGGUUUGAGCGAGCAGAGACUUCUAGCUCUCUCUCUUGAAGAAUCGGCUCGUUUCUCCCCUCCCCUUCCUUCCCCGUCCAGUCUCGUCGCCUUCUCAAUUCAGGAUGCUGGGCCCGAGCCACAAGCCUUUACGGCCUUGCCUAAAGAAGCGGUGCUCAGAUGCAGACUUACCUCUCUGCUCCUGACAUCUCUGCGGGGCUGGUUCGAAGGAAGGCGGAGGAAACCGUGCUGGGUGGCGUGCGCCAGAUCAAAGGCGGCCAAACCCUGCUAAAACUGCGAUUGUUAGAGAAAAGAAAGCCUGGAUGGGGAAGGCAAACACCCCACCCCUCGGAUAACCGUCGAAGGAAACCUGACUCUUGAGGCACAUUUUCUUUAUGCCCAGGUCCUGAGGGGAGAUGCCAUUUUUAGGCCUAUGGAGACUUUGCCCACUGUGAUACUGCAAGUGUUUUUGCUGUGCUUCAGAAACCUGCAAAACCUGUUUAACUGGAGAAUUCAAAGCACACAAUCAGAAAUAAUUAUUCUUUCAUCAUGCCUCCAGCAUGCUGAAAGGACCUUUUCCUUUGCCAACCAAUUCAGUUGGCACAUUUUCUUCUGCAGCACAGUUUGGUUUUGAUGCAGGGGUAUCCAAAGUUGGCAACUUGAAGACUUGUGGACUUCCACUCCCAGAAUUCCCCAGCCAACCAUAUUGGCUGGGGAAUUCUGGGAGUUGAUAUCAACAAGUCAUCUAGUCGCCAAGGUUUCAUGCUUUAUUCUAAUAAUCUGGAGCAAAGAACCUGCUCUCAGUCACAGUAUUGGCCAAGAUCCUGUCUCCGAGAUAGGCAGUUUGUGAGAUUUCAAGAGUUUCUAAUGUGCUCCUGAAAACCAUUAUUUUUCCUUUCUGGACCUGGGAACUAGCAAGAGUUCCCAAAGACUUGGGAACAGAGGAAUUCCCAGAGAUGGAAGCUUAGCUAAGUAGGGUUUUCAGACCCAUCCUCACCCUCCCUGCCCUUCCAUCGGUCAUGAUCUCCUCCAUCUUUUCUGAUCUUGUGCCAGCAAACUGUUCCCAGUGUGUCAAGAUUUCUUGGAUUCAUGUGUCCCAAAUAGAAAUUAUGCAUUAGACCCAAUUUCCUUCCCAUGUUUGACAGAAAUAAUGAUUAAGAAGACUUGUUUUUCUUUGGCAGGAUAGUUUUGAGGUCUGGUUACUGUCCCAGUUCCAGGGUCGGUUCAAACUGGGAAAUAGCCUACUACGUCUGCAAUAUGGAGAAACUCGGAUCACAUUGUGUUUGGAAAAGUCCAGGUUAAAAAUCACACAUGGUUAAUGAAGAGUAAGACUGGAUUCUGAUCCUACAGAACAUGUUACCUGUCAGUAUGCAUGAUCUGAUUCAAUAUCGGGCAACUUCACCUAUUUGGAUGGAGUUUCAAGAGCAGCCUUAGCUAAGUCUAGACUGCUCCUGAGAUCAGCUUGCAAAGGAAAGCAAAAAAAUUGGCUGCCAUCUUCUCCAAACAGCUGCUUUCCAGGUGUUGUGUACUACAGCUUCCAUCAGACGUUUCAUUAUGGGAGAUAUGACUUGAUUCCAGAGAAACUGGCUUGAUUUCUUGUCUUGUGAACAUCACUAAGUCCCAUCCUCCACAGUGACAUCAAUGUAUCCAUAGUAACUACUGACGACUGUUCUUCAAAGUGGAAGGACGGAAGGAGAUCAAACAAUAUGUGGCUUAACAAUGAAUAAGCUUGGCAAUACAUACGCACCAUGAAUUGGUGCCCUAGAGGAAACUGGAAACUUUUUGUUAUUUGCUGGAGAAAGGCCUUUGGAGAGAAGCUGGAUAGGUGAGGGCCACGCAUGCAGGAAGAUAGAGCACACUUUUGGUGUCACCUAAGUCACCUAAGAAGUAAAAGAUACCUUUGAUGAGCUAUUGAGGUACCUUUAAGUAAAAGUAAAGUCCCAUUUGAACUGUGCCCAACUCCUAGUGACUACAAAUUCAUGUCAAUGACCCUCAGAUGUGAUCAAUCUCUACGAUGUGUCUCAAUUCAUGGUAGACGUUAUGAGUUGCAAUAGAGAAUGCCAUUGAUCCAGACGAAGGUGAGUGCGUUAUGUACUGAAGAUUUCCCCUUCCUGACAGGGUGUUAAAGAAGGAAAGGUGGGAUUAUUCUAAACAAAUACUACUUGCCAAUCUUGACCUAGAGUUUCCCAUCUGACACCAUUGCCUACUUUGUCUUGAAAAACCCUCCCAAACUACAACUGUAGAGUGGCUUUCCUGAUUAGGCUGCAAAUUCAGAAGAUGAACAUAAUGCACAAGAUAAAAAAAAAAAUUCCCUUACGACAGGAUAGUAUCAUUAAUUCAGCUGCCAACUUUGGAAUGUUCAAAAGGUUGUCAGAUGAGCAAUUAGGCACAUCUAAUUCGUAGGACAUAAUCCCACGUGAUUUUCUUAAUUCCUAGGUCGGAUUGCAGUAAUUUGGAACUCUUGACUCUAGGAUAUUUUACCAUACAUGGUGAAAAUAGGAGCAGCAGUAGAUUUUUGCACUUCUCCUUUCAAGUAAGGCAAAAAUAGGAUUAUUUGGAUGAAGAUGUUUAGUGUGAUGAAAUUUAGGAUUUGAAUGCCCAGAAACCACAACAGAGUGGUGCAUUUCUUAAAGCAUAUCUUGAUAUGUUGAGCAUUUUAAAUGAGAUUUCUUUCCCUGAUUUCAAGAAGCCACUGGAAUUAAAUACUGAGCAUUCUGGAGGGGAAAAAAUAGCUGUAAAUCUUUAAGACGUUUAGGAAGAACUAAGCAAGUCAUUUUCAGCCUUCAAGAUGCUGAUUAUAAAAGAGUUAAUUUUUAUAAAUAAAUCUUAAUUAUUUUCUGCAGUUCAACUACUGUGGCUUUAUAACAAUGAAUAGUAUAUUUUGGAAUAUUGCAAAAACAUUAUGGAUAUCUCACUAUUUAGGGAUUCCCCAUGUGAUGGAAUCACUUAAGUGAGAUUCAGAAAGGUGGGAGGAUUAAUGCUUCCAGAUAGUACAUGCCUGCCUACCCACAUGCCAGUCUACUUACUUAAAGGGAUCUACACUAAAACAGUUUACUCACCGCAAUACCUGCUGAAAUUAUCCAUAAACCAAAAUGAAGAAUAUAGUGUGGAGCUUUGUCACUGGAAAGAAGCAGUGAUGAGUAAACUCUGCUUUAUUCAAAAUGACUUUCAGUUGAGCCUUUGUGGAGUCCUUGGUGCUCUCUGAGCUUGGUUGUCUUUGUGCAGACAUUUCAUUACCCAGCUAGAUAACAUCUUCAGUGCACAGUUCAGCCGAGCCCUUGGAAACUGUUUUCCAAGUCACUUCCUAGUUUGCUUUGGUACAAGGAUAUAAUGCCUAGUAUUAUAUUUAUUGUUCUCCCAGAAAUGUAGUUUGGGUUCACCCACCCAUAACAGGCCUUGCUCUCUUCAGAUUAAGAAAAAAAGAGAACAGCUUUUCUCAAUGCAGGAUGGAUAAAGUAUGUGCCAAUGUUAAAAGUAGUCAAGCAAAGUGACCUAAGUGAAGAAUGUCACCUCAAAAAAAAGCUGCGGACUGCCACAAAUGCAUACCAAAACAGAUCAUUAAUAAUUUGCGUGCUAUCUCCAAGAAGCACUUCCAGUAGCACCCAGUUUCUGAAUCUGCAGAAUAAAUUUGACUAGGCUCCUUGAACAUUUUCUUGAGCUUCUUAUUGGGAUAAUAAGCGCUUAUCCAACACUUUUGGAAAUAUUCCUCAAAGUACUGUUUUAACUGUACAUGUUUUCCUCAGGAUGGAGUUGACUUUAUUCUCAUAUGUGAGUCUGAACAAGAUAUGUCAGGAGAGCAAGGGAUGGGAGUAUUCUUUUGCCUCAGUACCCUUGCCUCAAGGGAGAAACAAUGUUUUCUUGGGUGGAGAGCUCCUUUUCUAUUAAGAACUGCAUUCCAGCAGUAGGUGGGUCAAAGGCAGUAAUGGGCAGGAUCACCUCCUUCAUUCUUUCUCCAAUCCGUUUUUUUUUUUUUUCUUUUGCCACCUUUUCCAUCAUUGGUUUCUUUCUUUCCCUCUGUGCCCACUCUUCCUCCCCCACCUCUUCCUCAUGUCCUGUCCAAUAAUUUACCAUAGAAGGGAGAGCUUGUUUUGCCAUAAAGAUGAUUGUUAUCUCAGAGAGAGAGAGAGACCUUGUGAAAUUAGGCCAGUUUGCAUGCUGUGAUCACAGGUAGUUCACCUUUAAAUGACUGGCUCCUCCUGUAUGCUCUUCUUAGGUGAAAUAGCAUCAUUUUUUCAUGUGUAAACUUCACUGAAAUGAACGGGAGUUACAUAGUGCCAUAUCAGUUUACACUGUAAGUAAAUGCAUUCUAUUUUUUCAUUUUUAUCAUCCUGGUUCUAGCAUGUUAUUUCCUACUUCCUAUUAAUAUGCCACCUCAUCUCCUUCUCUCAAAUAUAAUUCUCGUACAAAACAUUGCCGGUCUGGUACAGGUAGCUCUUGACUUACAACAGUCCAUUUAGUGACUGUUUGAAAAUACAUCACUGAAAAAAGUGACGUAUGACUGUUUUUCACACUUAUGACCAUUGCAG